AGGGGCGUAGUUCAGUGGUAGAACGCAGGUCUCCAAAACCUGAUACGUGGGUUCGAUUCCCCCCGCCCCUG
rnacentral:tRNA from 1 species